GACGAACGCUGGCGGCGUGCUUAACACAUGCAAGUCGAACGGAAAGACCCUGCUUUUGUGGGGUGCUCGAGUGGCGAACGGGUGAGUAACACGUGAGUAACCUGCCCUUGACUUUGGGAUAACUUCAGGAAACUGGGGCUAAUACCGGAUAGGAGCUCCUGCUGCAUGGUGGGGGUUGGAAAGUUUCGGCGGUUGGGGAUGGACUCGCGGCUUAUCAGCUUGUUGGUGGGGUAGUGGCUUACCAAGGCUUUGACGGGUAGCCGGCCUGAGAGGGUGACCGGCCACAUUGGGACUGCGAGACGGCGCAGACUCCUACGGGAGGCAGCAGUGGGGAAUAUUGCACAAUGGGAGGAAGCGUGAUGAAGCAACGCCGCGUGCGGGAUGACGGCCUUCGGGUUGUAAACCGCUUUCGCCUGUGACGAAGCGUGAGUGACGGUAAUGGGUAAAGAAGCACCGGCUAACUACGUG
rnacentral:rRNA from 1 species